AAGCUGCCUUGCACAUUCCCUUCUCAUUCUGUGGAUUGCCCAUUUUCUUGCAAACCACAUUGUGGCUCAGAUGGACCUGUCUUUGUUAUCAUGAUUGAGAAUGAUAAGGUUCGUUCUUCAGAAAUUUUGCCCCCAUUUGGAUAAAUUAUAAAUGAUAUAUAUAUGUGUUGCAUGGACACUUUUAAGUAGGAUGGCCCGUGUUCGACACGUCUCGAAUAUCGACGCUACUCGGACACUGUCAUGGUCAUAUUUAAAAUAUUUUAACAAGAUAUAAAUGAAGAAUUUUAAAUAUUUUAAUCAGCGCGUCGACGUAAAUGAUGUUUGACCCAGGGUUUUUAGCGUUCAAGGGGUCACAUUCUUAUCCCACCUUCCCAUUAGUAUUGUUUGGAACUUGAGUGUAUCAUACUUAUACGUACAGAAUCUUUCUCGAGUUCCAGGGAAUUUGUGUUCUUUGUGAAUUAGUUUUUUUAAAUUCAGUCAUUUGUCCAAUGGAUUUGUCAUGCUCGAUAUGACUACUGAUCUGGUGUUUGGAUUUUGCAGAUGUCCGUGCAGGAGCUCCCAGCAAAUUCAUCUGUUACGGAUCUGUUGGAAAGAACAGGUCGAGGCAGUUAUAGAUGGACUCCCUAUGGAUUUCCUCUGAAGGAAGAGUUGAGGCCGCGGCUGAACCAUGAACCAGUUAGUGAUCCCACCUGCAAGCUAAAAAUGGGUGAUGUGGUGGAAUUAACUCCGGCCAUCCCAGACAAGUCACUGACAGAAUACCGGGAGGAGAUUCAACGUAUGUAUGAUAGGGGCCUUAACAUAUCAAGCGCAGUGCCUGCUGCCAACACCAUGGCUAGGUUAAGUAGUUGACCCCUUUGGCUCCCCUGAUUGUAUUAUGCGAUUGAUACAAAAUCACGACUAGUUAUUCUGUAGAUAAACGAUAACGAUCUGUAAAGAACACCUUAUUGUUUGUUUAUGAAGGUAAACGAUCUUCUGAAACUGGCUAUUAUCUUUAACAAAUUUAGCAAUUGCAAUUAAGCUGAAGCUCUUAGUGAAUGUUAAAUCACGAACAAUUCCCAGCCUCUCUUCUUUAGUGAAUGAAGUGCAAGGCGUUGAUUCCUACCAAUUUUAUACGUAUAAAAUAAGCUAAAUAAUCUCUCUACUUAAUAGGGGAUUUGGCUUGCGAACUUCCAAUAACUCGACAAUUGACGUGAAAUAUUUGACAGGAACACCAAUUGAAACCAAAAGCCACAUUUUAAAUUUGUAAUAUCAUUAGCCACGGGGAAAAUGAACAGGUCUAAUCCUACCAUAUAGUAGGAGACAAAUGAACAAGGUCUGUAUAGAAGACGACCAUAAGUAAUCCGUUCAGGAAGCACGUCGAAACUACGUUGUUUUGACGUUGAAGCAAUACUGCCAUCGUACAAUUCACACACGCAUAUACACAGUUGUACACCCACACAGAGUGAGCUGAUUCACAUACAAAAAGAAACAAUUUAAUAUCUUCUCAUGUAAUUUUUUGACCUUCAAUUGUUUUAUUUGCUAUUUUUUUCGAGUCUGUUAAAAAACACGUAUCUGAUUGUAACGACUUUGGGGUUGUAUAUUUGUAUGGAUAACUUAAUAGUGGCCUCAAUUCCCGUAAUAGUUGGAUUGAACCCUGAUAAAGUAUGGAUAUUGUCAUGCAGUAAAAAUAUUUCUGGCAUAAUAUGAUGUUUCACUGUAUUUUUGUUGCCCUGGGAGUCUUCAAUGUAUAAUUUCUAACAUAUUAUCAAGUUAAUUACAUUGCUUUCCUGUUCCCCCAAAAAAAAAAUAAAAAAAAUCAUGCUAAUCUACCUCUUGCGGUGGUGUAAUUUUAUCUUCUGCAGAAAGAAGCUGAAUAUGGAUGAAAUUCAUGAUAUCCAUGGUUUGAGAUUGAUUGUCGAAACUGAGGAUGAUUGUUAUAAGGCUUUGAGAAUUGUUCACAAGCUAUGGGGUGAAAUACCUGGGAGGUUCAAGGAUUACAUAGUUUAUCCCAAGUUUAAUGGGUAUGCUAUUUCUAAAAGUUUUAAUGUCUUAUUCUACAUAUCAUUUGUUAUUAUACUUAAUUCAAACUCUAAAAUUUCAGGUACCGAUCUCUUCAUACAGUAGUGAUAGGUGAGGGUAUGGUUCCACUUGAAGUUCAAAUUCGAACAAAAGAGAUGCAUUUGCAAGCUGAGUAUGGAUUUGCUGCUCAUUGGAGAUACAAGGAAGGUGAUUGUGAACAUUCCUCUUUUGUGCUUCAGAUGGUUGAAUGGGCGCGUUGGGUUGUCACCUGGCAGUGUGAGGCUAUGAGCAAAGACAGGUCAUCCAUUAGCUUUGUUGACUCCAUGAAGCUGCCUUGCACAUUCCCUUCUCAUUCUGUGGAUUGCCCAUUUUCUUGCAAACCACAUUGUGGCUCAGAUGGACCUGUCUUUGUUAUCAUGAUUGAGAAUGAUAAGGUUCGUUCUUCAGAAAUUUUGCCCCCAUUUGGAUAAAUUAUAAAUGAUAUAUAUAUGUGUUGCAUGGACACUUUUAAGUAGGAUGGCCCGUGUUCGACACGUCUCGAAUAUCGACGCUACUCGGACACUGUCAUGGUCAUAUUUAAAAUAUUUUAACAAGAUAUAAAUGAAGAAUUUUAAAUAUUUUAAUCAGCGCGUCGACGUAAAUGAUGUUUGACCCAGGGUUUUUAGCGUUCAAGGGGUCACAUUCUUAUCCCACCUUCCCAUUAGUAUUGUUUGGAACUUGAGUGUAUCAUACUUAUACGUACAGAAUCUUUCUCGAGUUCCAGGGAAUUUGUGUUCUUUGUGAAUUAGUUUUUUUAAAUUCAGUCAUUUGUCCAAUGGAUUUGUCAUGCUCGAUAUGACUACUGAUCUGGUGUUUGGAUUUUGCAGAUGUCCGUGCAGGAGCUCCCAGCAAAUUCAUCUGUUACGGAUCUGUUGGAAAGAACAGGUCGAGGCAGUUAUAGAUGGACUCCCUAUGGAUUUCCUCUGAAGGAAGAGUUGAGGCCGCGGCUGAACCAUGAACCAGUUAGUGAUCCCACCUGCAAGCUAAAAAUGGGUGAUGUGGUGGAAUUAACUCCGGCCAUCCCAGACAAGUCACUGACAGAAUACCGGGAGGAGAUUCAACGUAUGUAUGAUAGGGGCCUUAACAUAUCAAGCGCAGUGCCUGCUGCCAACACCAUGGCUAGG
rnacentral:lncRNA from 1 species